UGUGAAAACUGAGUUGCUACGACCCGUAGAUCCGAACUUGUGUCGCAAAGUUUAGUAUCACAAGUUCGUUUCUAGAGGAUACAGCCACUCAGUGCACUC